ACUGACCAAAAAUCAGUUCAAAAUUCAACUCCCCGCCAAAGAUAUUCAACCGCGAAUUCGUCAAAACCAUGUCCUAACGCCUUUUGUACUUGUAGUGCAUUUUGGAUGUUAUUGCAUUUCAUGAUUCUUUGAGAAUGUUCGUUAUUGAGGAGGAUAUGGAAAAGUGGCAUGCAGAAUGAAUAAUUUCUGUUACAUGAAGCAGAACUCUGCACUUUUUUUCAUCUGAGAGGAGAAGGAGGAGGCUCCAAAUUUUCAUCCGAGCGAAUAUAUCUACAAAGCGCUAAAGUUCAUCCUGAUUAAAACCUUCAAAAGAACAAGAAUGUCUUGUAAUCUUUGAAUUUUUAAGUGUUGAAAAAGUUCUAUUUCUUUGUCUAUUGGAGCAAAGGAAAAACUAUUAUGAAAAAUAAAAGCUGAUUUCACAGCGUCAUGACGUAA